AUACGUAGGUGGCAAGCGUUGUCCGGAUUUACUGGGUGUAAAGGGCGUGUAGGCGGGGUGUUAAGUUAGAUGUGAAAUGCCCGGGCUUAACCCGGGAGCUGCAUUUAAAACUGAUACUCUUGAGUGCAGGAGAGGAAAGCGGAAUUCCUAGUGUAGCGGUGAAAUGCGUAGAUAUUAGGAGGAACACCAGUGGCGAAGGCGGCUUUCUGGACUGUAACUGACGCUGAGGCGCGAAAGCGUGGGGAGCAAACAGGGUUAGAUACCCUGGUAGUCCACGCUGUAAACGAUGAUUACUAGGUGUGGGAGGUAUCGACCCCUUCCGUGCCGCAGUUAACACAAUAAGUAAUCCACCUGGGGAGUACGGCCGCAAGGUUGAAACUCAAAUGAAUUGACGGGG
rnacentral:rRNA from 1 species